CGCUGGCGGCGUGCUUAACACAUGCAAGUCGAACGGUAAGGCCCUUCGGGGUACACGAGUGGCGAACGGGUGAGUAACACGUGGGUGAUCUGCCCUGCACUUCGGGAUAAGCCUGGGAAACUGGGUCUAAUACCGGAUAGGACCAUGGACUUCACGGUUUGUGGUGGAAAGCUUUUGCGGUGUGGGAUGGGCCCGCGGCCUAUCAGCUUGUUAGUGGGGUAAUGGCCUACCAAGGCGACGACGGGUAGCCGGCCUGAGAGGGUGUCCGGCCACACUGGGACUGAGAUACGGCCCAGACUCCUACGGGAGGCAGCAGUGGGGAAUAUUGCACAAUGGGCGCAAGCCUGAUGCAGCGACGCCGCGUGAGGGAUGACGGCCUUCGGGUUGUAAACCUCUUUCAAUAGGGACGAAGCGCAAGUGACGGUACCUAUAGAAGAAGCACCGGCCAACUACGUG
rnacentral:rRNA from 1 species